UUAGCUCCUUUUUGUCCUACUGGCCUCAGUUUAUUUGCUGUUCCUCAGAGGGGCCUUCCCUGACCACCCUGUUAUAAAUAGAUCUCCCUGUAUCCUUUAUUCUCUUUCUCCACCCUUUAUUUGUUACUUUCAUUAAUGUAUUAGAAUUUUUAAUCAUUUUACUUAUUUGUCUGUUUACUGGUAUUUUUAAAAUAUCUAUUUUCCCACUAGAACGUAAGGUCCAUUAGGACAAGAGUCAUGUCUGUCUUGCCACCAUUGCCCCCUGGCCCCUCCCCCCCCCAAGCCUAGCACAGUGCCUGGCAGGGAGUAGAUAGCCAUCAACAUUGGUGGGGGCUUUGCUGGACUGAAGGAAGAAUCAGGUAACUGAUCAAGAGUCCCCUUGAACUUUGGCGCCUGGAAACUGAGGGCCAGAUCUGUAGUGCAGCUGCAGUGACUGCCCAUGUCCUUCAGAUCCCCUGCCAGAUGUGUGUGCUGACUUCUUAUCUGAUUUCACCUUCCUCAGUGGACCCUGUUCGCACUGACCCAUGUAACUGAUGUUUAUAAUUUACAGUAAGAAUCAGACUUUCCGUCAUGAUUUAAAGCAAAUAUGAUGACACUGCAGGCUAGACACAUUGUCUUUGUGUAAUUCCCAGAAGCCAGAACAGUGUAAACAGUGCAACAGAGCUAUGGCAACUGAUGCUUUCUCUUCACCAGGACUGUCCUUCAGCGAGAGCCCUCAGGUGAGGCCCUGGUACCCUUGGGGCUUGGGGCUGCUGGGGGAGCCCUGUGACAGGUGAGCAUUCUGCUGUGAGUGGACAAGGGCUAUGGUUGGUCUGCAUAGAGCUUCUGUGCAAAUUAAGAAAAGGUGCCCCUGUGGGUAGAUGCAGCACUGGGCAAAGGCAAAAGGUUUGGCAAAUGGAGAGUUGUUUGGUUUCAUUCCCCUCUUGCCCCCUUAGUUGAGUGUCUUUGUGCAGUAAACAACCUGCACCACGGUACAUGGAAAGGUCCUGAAUGGAAAAGUCUCUGAGUCUUGGGACUGUCCCACUUGCCUUGGUAUUUGGACCCCUUCCUAUAGGGCCUGCCCAGCAGACAGGACUUCCUGUUGUCAGUCAUUGCUUCCCUCAACCAUAUCAGAGCCUCCUCAACCCUUUGUAAAACAUGGCUGGGAGGGGACAAGGGGCUUGGGGAGAAGGCAACAUUUAUCAGGUGUCUAGCGUGCACCAGUCACUGGGCAGGUGCUGGGUAUAUAAAGGUGAGUGAGUUCUGCCUCUUUCCUGACAGUCUGCUGAAGGGAACAGAUAGGCAAAUAAAGUAAGAACAAAUUCUUACAAGGAAAUGAGUGCAAAGCUGUGGCGACAGAGAGGGGAGCACACGACCCUGACUCAGGAGUCAUGAGUCUUCUCAGAGGACAUACUCUAUGACUUGGGGCCUCGGAGGAGUUUCCAGGCCAACAAGUAAAGGAAAGGCAUUCCAGGCAGGGGGAACAGCUUAUGCAAAGGCACAGAGAUCUGGAACUGCAUGGUUGGGUUGAGGAAAAGAGGCUGCCAAGAAUGUACUCAUGUCCUUCUCCCAUCCACCUGACUCAUCCAUCCAAAGAGGUCCAAUGUCAACUUUUCUGUGAUACCUUCCUUUGCUUCCCCGAGUCCAUCCCCUUAAGUCUCUGACAUGCACAUGUACAUCUCUCAAAGCACCUGGCACCUCAUACCGUAGUCAGGUACACCCUAGUCUCUCACCAGACCCUGAGCUCCCUGAGGGCAGAGGCUGCCCCUGCCUCACCUGUGUGUCCUCUCUCCUCACAAAGUGCUAGGCACAUGUCAAGUGUGGGAGAAAGGUUUGUUAAGUGAAUCGAUUAACAGUGUACCUGAAGCAGAGGAAGCCCAGUGAAGCAGGUCUGGAUGUGAGGCUGGACAGAAAUACUGGAUAAUACCAUGCAAAGGGUUCUGGACGACAGGCACUGGUGGCCAUCAUCAGUUCUGGCUGUAGGGUGACAUCAGGGUCAAGGUCACAUAUGUUUUGUGGUGGUACCAGGGUAUUCAAUCUGGCAGGCAGGUCCUGGCAGUAGGACACCCUGGUGGCCUCCCACCGUCUGGAGCCACACAGGAGCCUUACAUAGGGGAGGAGUCCCCAGGGGGUGGGAGAAGCGCAGGGCUGCCUCAGCUAGGAUAUCUUGAUUAUAGAUGACAAAUAAUAACGCCUCUAUUAUUUCACUUGAUAGGAAGUCCAGAGGAAGGAGAUUUUUCAGUGUAAUAGGGCUCAAUAAUACAGUAACAUCAUCGAGGUUCCUUCCAUUGCACUGCCUCAACUUCAUCGAAACACUGUUGACCCUCACGAUUGCAAGAUGGUCGGAGCAGUUCCAGGAAUUACACUCAGGCCCAUCAGUGCUCAACGGCAGAAAACAGGCACUCUUUCCGUAGUCUCCUUCCUAGAAGCGAGGAAUCCUUUCCCAGAAGUCCCUGAGCAGACCUCUCCUCACAUCUCGUUGGCCAGAAUUGGGUCACAUGCUGACUCCUGCACCAAUCACUGGCAAGAGACCGAUGAUUGGCUUAGACUAAUCAGGGUCCACCCUCUGGAGCAGCGGGUGCGGUUACCCUGCCCUACAGCUGGUGGUGUGGCGGAGGAGAUGAUGCUUAUCAGUGGAAGGCUGUAUCCCAACGUCGGUACCUUGAGAUGGGUGUGUGUGUGCACGCGCACAAGGAUGAGCAGCGUCCCCCCGCCCCGGAAUGCCAGGGAAGGGCAUCCUCCAGGAGAACCAAGAGUGUUAUCGAAGAGGCUAACACACUAGACGGUUCCAAAGGGCGUGGGAGGAAAGGCUUCGUCGGCUGGCCUCAAGUGUUGCGUUAGACGCUGACAGACAAGGCAUCAGGCCAGCCCAGAAUCAAGGGGAGGAGCAACAGACUCUAUCUCUUGGUGAGAGGAGCAGGCCAUGCACACAGGGAUGAGAAGGGUCGUUGGUGGCCAUCUUGGGAAACAAAAGGUCUACAUACAGAACUGGUGAGCGGCAGAGCUGGGAUCAAGCCUAUGGCUGUUUAAUGCCGGGUCCACACUUCAGCAUCACUGAUCAGAUCAUGGAGUUUUUAAGCUGGAAAUGACUCUUGAGAUCAUCUAGUGGUCCACAGCCCUGAGGGUCUUGAGCUGGGUUUCCUCAGAAGCAGACCUUGAGGACCAAUUCGAGUGUCAGUGGCUUAUUUGGGAGGUGAUCCCAAAAAGCCCUGAUAGGGGAGUGGAGAAGUGUGACAGCAAAGGGAUGGAAACUAAAUGAGCAGCUUACCUUGUGGAACCCAGUCUUGCUGGAGACUUCUGGGAGGUGAUGUGGAACACCUCUGAGGGGCUAGGAAGCUGGGGUGUUCAUCCUCUCACUUCCCACGCUGGUGCAUGGGUCCCCUCCCAGACUCAUGGAACUCACCCUUGAUCUGACUUUCCUUUUUGGCCUUGUUCAGGACACCUUCAUUCACUCCCAGUUCUGGAGUCUUCUUUCUGUCAUGGUCCCUGGGCUGGAGAAGCCCUACUGCUGUUUACCGUGAAGUUACAUGCAACAACCUGGCCAGGCUCUUUAGCAGCAGUAAAACUCCAGACUUUUCCAGGGCAACAAGUGGUUCCCUCUGCUUGGAUCUGUAGGCUGUCCCUGCUUGUCCUAACCCAACAGGUUCUUCUGGCUGCAAGAACUAUAAUUAGAACUUGUGGUGGACUGUUACUUUCGUGGCUGCCAAAGAACCAUGCCUCCCAGUGUUCAUAUCCUGGUGUAGAGCCCUCCCGCGUUGACUCUGAGCUCAGCUAUGUGACUUGUUUUAGCCAAUGGGACAUUAGCAAACAUGAUGCAAGCAGAGGCUUGAUAAGUGCUUGUACAUCGGGGGUUUUCCUCUUGCAACCCAGCUGCUGUGCUAUAAGGAAGUCGAAGCCAUCUUGCUGGAGAGAGAGAUCGUAUGAAGAAAACCACACAUGAAGAGAGAGGUAAGCCACUGGAGGAGCACUGAGCCAUUGCACAGAUCUUCUUACGGAGCUGUAUGAAAAUCUAACCUGGCGCUUCUGACUGCUAUGGAACACUCUGAUGUGCAUCUUCCAGCUCCACCUGUUCAUUCUGCUGCGGACGAACACCCAGACAGCCUCCAAUUCCUGCCACUUUAAACAAUACAGUAUUAAACGUCUUUGUUCAUGUCACCUUACAGAGCUGAUAAAACAAAUGUUCACCCAUUUUAUUCACAAACCACAGUGCAUAUCCAAAUGCCUUUAAAUGUGAUGCCAAAAAAAAAAAAAAUCCAGUAAACACACAGAUUUAUAAAGCUGAAUUUAGAUUUCUCACAUUCUCUCUUUAUUUUCAUAAUGAAAAUGUUCAAAAAGUUCAGUUAACAUCGUGACUUUGAAAACACAGAGAAUCAUUUUAGAAACAAAUUAUUUCCUAAUCGGUAUAUACCUCAUGAGGAAAAAAAACAUUAAAAAAAAUCAAAUCUGUUGUAUUCAUUUAAAACAAACACACACUCCCAGUAGAACCUCCCAAGGUUUGUACGGUGACUGCAUUUUUCCAGCUGAGCAAUAUUACGAUGUUUCAGAGGGACUCCUAAAUCACUGAGCACAUGGAUCAGACAGGCCCUUGUUCGCCAGCACAUGGUCUCUGUUCUUGCACAGCCUGCUUCUGCAGCAACAGCAUUCUUCGCUCUCUUUGCAAUUUUAACUCCCACUUGAAAGGGAAAAACAUCAGACACAUCUAUAGACAUAGGAUGGCUCUCAACCUGCCCUCUUUCCCUGUGGGAAGUUACAGCUCUUACAGUGUAUCUCUAACCUGUCAAACUGUCCAACAAACUCAGAGGACAGAGUUUUCGAUGUACUCUUUCAUUCUUUUCCAAGCCCUGACAUUUUUGGUCCAUAUUCCCGUUCAGAUGUGGCAGCUCACCAUUUAGUGGCAGUUCCCACACAGCCUGCUCUGGAGACCUGCUUCCUUGUGAGUUGGUGGCCACUCUCUGGUCACCUCAGUGGGUGGGCAAUCUAUUCCCUUAAAUUUAGUGGGUCUCUGUUUCUUUUACAACCUAGCCCCAGCUCUCUCAAAGGAUUCCAAUGGGAAAUCUAUGAAAAGCUUUCAUAUUUUGAAUCCUUCUCUCCAAACAAACCCUUCUGUAGCUUCUAUUUUGACAUGUUGCCUUCCUGACUCCUGUAGUUAUAGACGUAGGCAAAAAUAGUUUUCCCGGAGGUUCCUGAGCCUUCUACAACUGCUGGGACAGUGCAUAACCUGACCUAUGGCUUGGCGAACCCUUCUGCCUCUCAAUGUGCAAGUGAAGACCUUCACUCUCCAUCAGAGGGCAGUUCACCUAGGGCUGGCUAAACCCCCACCACAACCGGAUCUUCUCUUUUGGACUGAGGCAAGCCGUGUGUGGCUUGGAUCACAAUUUCCUCAGGCCUUAGCCCUCAUGUCCUUCCCACUAAUCCUGGAACCUUGAAACCUCUCCCUCUUUCCUCUAUCUCUGAUGCUUCAGAGUAGUUCUCACCAAUUCUUACUGAAGCCUCCUUUUAAAAAGAUAUGCAAAAUAGCGAGGAAAAUUUUAGGGAUUGUUAAUAAAGAAGGGGAGCUUUCCUACCAGAUACUGAAGUGCCUUAAGCUGUGACAACUGAAACAGUUUAUUAUGGUGUAUGAAUUGGUAGAUGAGUGGAAUGGAAGAGAAAAUCUCAACACAGACCAAGAAUCUAGAAGAAUUUAGCAUGUGGAGAUGACAGCAUCUCAAACUCCCAUAUGUGGACUGACAGUGAUGAAAGAUUGGGUGAUACAAUUUACAAUGUUAGAAGUGCUGGUUAAUCAUUUGGGGGCAAAAUUAGAUCCCUAUCUAAUGCCAAAUAGAUGAAACAUCUAAAUGUUCAAAAAGGAAGAAGGAAAAAGAAGUCAUCAGUAGACUAGAGAAUACUGGUGAAAAUUUAUAUAACCUCAGAAUGAGGAAAGCUUUCUAAGCACAGCAACAAAGGCAAAAACCUAAAGGAAAGUAUUGAUAGAUCUACCCAAACCCCAAAUCAGACACUUCUAUAUCUACAAACUCAUCAAAAAUAAAACUUAAAGGCAAAAUAAAACUGGGGAAAAUAUUAUUGCAUAUAUGGCAAAUUAUUAAUAGCAUUUGUAUAUUAAGAAUUGUCAUAGAUCAGUGAGAAUAAAAGUGAGAGUGAUGUUGAGCCCUACAUAAGGCAUCAUUGUCUGAGGAAGGCUGCCAGCCAAUGGUAACAGCUUGAUUACAUCAGACCCCUUCCUCUCCUAAUGGGGCAGCAAUUUGUUCUUCUUAGAUUUUUAUCUACUGCAGAUAUGGGUUUGCCUUCUCUGUCUACAGUGUGGCUGCCAGCACUCCCAUAUGUGGACUGACAGAAAUGACAUGGUAUUCUGAAUAAAGUGGCCUCAACAUGAGGGACCAAUUUUAUGGAUAAAGUACUGAUAAUGGCACACGCAAUGGCUUCCACUGGCCUUCCCAUACAUCCCAUUAGCUGGAAGGAACCAGCCUAACAUAAUAGUGGAAUGACCUGCAGGGUUGGUGUGCUGAAGUCCAGGAUGCAAUAUGCACACUGAAUGGAUAAGCAAUUGGUAGAGCUGUGUUGCCAGUAGCUAAAAUGCGCAGGUCUGGGGAGCGGAGGAGAGGGGAAGGAGGAAUAGUUGCUCUCUCUAUCGCUCCAGUGACACACUUAAGAAGGCUGUGCUUCCUUCCCUGUAAACUUUGAUUUGGUUGGAUUAGAGGUCCUGUUUCUCAAAGUGUGGAAUGGUUCCAUCAGGGCCCACAGUGAGAGUUCCUCUGAACUUGAAGCUAUGCCUGUGGACCAGGAGGCAUAGAAAGUUAUUAUACUGGUGUCUUAGAGUGGAUUCUACCAAAAGCAGGCCCUGAAACCAGGAUUUGAGUGUGGGUAGUUUAUUUGGGAGAUGAUUCCAGGACAUACCAAAGGGAGGUAGGGAAGUAAGACAGAUGGAGGAAGGAAGCCAAUGUAGGGUGUUAGUGAAUAGGUUGCCGCUGUGGGAAACUGGGCCUCAUUCCUGCUGGGGACCUCUGGGAGGCAUGUGGAACAUGCCUUAGAGUUGUCUUUCCAGAGGAGCAAGGUAUAACUCCCAGGGCUUGAUCCAGGGGCUUCAGCUCUAUGUCCUGUACUGAAUGGGUGCUGAGCAUGGUCUUAAGGCCAGAGGAACCCCGAGGCAGGGAGCACUGGUGUUGGAAGUAAGGAGCUGCUGAGUGCAUGACAGCAGUGGUCUGGGCUUUCUUUCUAUGGCUGUUAAUAACAGUCAUUGUUGUUAUCCUUGUAAUUCCCAUCAUCCCCUUACUUUUCAAGUGCCAGACCCACUGCUGAAGCCUGCUCAUCCCCUUCCUCCUGUGUAGUAACUGGGAUAUUGAGCAUAGCAUGGGUUCUUACCACCAUACUUACUGGCAGAAUUCAGAUCCUUUUUCCCACCAGGCCAGUGAGAGGUCCAAUUCCAGAAUCUCAGCCUGAGUGUCUGCUCCCUUGGGGCACUUCUUGUAUCAAUCAUCCUAGUUUGGGUUCCCCACAAAGCAGACUUUGAGACUAGACUUUGAGGAUGCAUAGUUAACUUGGGAGUGAUCCCAGGAAACACCAGCAUGGAAGUGAGAAGGUGAGACAGGAAAGGGAAGCGGGUCCAUAUCGUGUAUGUUAACAAUCACAGGUCACCACUGUGGGCAACGGGAGAUGGUGUGAACAUGCCUCAGAAUUGUCCCAGUCUCACCAGAGGGGCCACGUAGCUGGGGUGUUUGUCUACCAACUCUUAUUCAUCACUGGUCCAGACUAUCCCCAGGGUGCCCGCUCCUCUGCCUUCUGACCUGUUCUGAGAGUGAGCUGAGCAUGUUCCCACAGCCAGAGGAAGCCUUUGGGUGGGGAGUCUCCAGGGCUUGAGGUAAGAAGCUGCUGUGUGCAUGGGACAGUGAUUGUCAAAUAGUGCUAGUUUAUUGUUGGGAGGUAAUUCUCUGUGGGACUUUGACAUUGCUGCAUGUCUUAUAGGCAGAGGCCCUUGUUCUACACUGGAUUUUUCAAUGAUGUCUACAGAGUUCUUAAUGUAGUCGCAGCAGGAUUGCAGAGAAACCCAACAGAGACAACCUGGAAUCUACACUGAACCAGCAGUCAUACCGAUAGGGGCCCACUGAACACACCCCCGGAUCACUGCAUUCUUUAGGUGACCCCGGAUGAGAAGAAGACGGCAUCUGUUGUAGACAGCUGUCCCAAGACUCCAGACCAGGACCUGGGAACUGUCUCUUAAAAAUGUCACCUUGAGGAAGCUGAUGCCCGACCUGCCAGCUCCUGUGGGAGAAUAGGAGCCUCCGAGCUGCAGAACUGCCUCCUGCCAUAAAGAGACGAGAAGCUUAUGUUUCCUUUGGACAAAGGCAAUCAGUUAACACAGAUGGCCACCCCAGCUGCCAAGUGAAUUUAAGAUGAGCUAUGCGUGACAAAUGGUGCUGUCAAGUUUUUUUACUUGAGGACUAGUUAUUGUUUAGCUUGAGAACACCUAUGUAAUGGAUUGUAUCUGCUUGGCUCUGUAAAAGGGUAAGAUUCCUUUCUAUCUUUGCGAUCUCUUAGUGAAUUGCCUGAGAUGCACAUCACAAUCUGGUUUAAUACUUAUUCAAUAAUAAAAUUGUUUGCUUUCUCUUCUA
ensembl:lncRNA